rnacentral:rRNA from 1 species
GACGAACGCUGGCGGCGUGCUUAACACAUGCAAGUCGAACGGAAAGGCCCUGCUUUUGUGGGGUGCUCGAGUGGCGAACGGGUGAGUAACACGUGAGUAACCUGCCCUUGACUUUGGGAUAACUUCAGGAAACUGGGGCUAAUACCGGAUAGGAGCUCCUGCUGCAUGGUGGGGGUUGGAAAGUUUCGGCGGUUGGGGAUGGACUCGCGGCUUAUCAGCUUGUUGGUGGGGUAGUGGCUUACCAAGGCUUUGACGGGUAGCCGGCCUGGGAGGGUGACCGGCCACAUUGGGACUGAGAGACGGCCCAGACUCCUACGGUAGGCAGCAGUGGGGAGUAUUGCACAGUGGGCGGAAGCGUGAUGCAGCAACGCCGCGUGCGGGAUGACGGCCUUCGGGGUGUAAACCGCUUUCGCCUGUGACGAAGCGUGAGUGACGGUAAUGGGUAAAGAAGCACCGGCUAACUACGUG